AGAGAGAGAGGAGAAGAGAGACGACCCCCACCCACAAAAUAAAAAUAAAACCCUAAAUCCCCAAAGCCAGAGAGAGUCUCUCUAAGUCGAAACCCUAGUUAGAUUUUGAUUACAUUACACACAUAUAUAGAUAUUGAUACACUCCUCCCACGCCCAGUGUCUGCUUCUCUUCUUUGAAUUGUGCCCUUUCUUUCUCGAACCUUCUCGAUCCGUCAAAAGCUUAAAGCUUUUCACUUUCCAGCUCCUCUGGCCCCAAUUUUGCCCUAAUUUUGAGAAUUUGGGGUUCAGUGACCGGAACCCCCAAUCCCGACGGGGGUCGUCAAGUUCGGUGGCGGUGUAUUCAGCAUUGGUUCUUGAAGCUGUUCUUGAAUCAGUCCAAUUGGGGUUUCGGGUUUCUGAAUUGGCGGGUUUGAUUUUGGGGUUUCGGUGCUCACCGGAGUCUGGGACCAGUAGGCGAACAGGAAGAAGAAGAAAGAGUUGGAAUUUACUAACUUGUCCUUCUUGAUCUGGUGUAGUACCAAUUGGAGGCCGACUCCGGAUUCAUGUCAGAGUUGGUAAGUGGCCACCAAUUAAUCAGACGCUGACCGAUGGAUCCUGAAGGAGCAAAGUUUGGAAGAGGACCAAGAGAGCUGACUGGUGCUGUAGAUCUCAUAAAUCAUUACAAAUUGCAUGCACACCAUGAGUUUUUCUGCAAGCGUUUGCUUCCUGUAUCAAUUUCAGACACACACUAUACCUACAAUGUGGUGGGAGACACAGAAAUCAGAAAAGGAGAUGGAAUGCAAUUGGAUCAACUUAUUCAGAGUACAUAUUCCAGGGAUACUAAACCUCGAAUACAGCCUUUUGACCUAGAUGUUCUCAGAGAGGCCUUCCAACUUAAAGAUACUGCUCCUAUUGAUUUGCCACCUGCAGAUAAGGGGACUCCAACUAUUGCCGGAAAAUCAAAGAGCGGGUCUAAAGAUAAGGAGAGGAAACACAAAAAGCACAGAGACAAAGACAGAGGCAAAGAUAAGGACAAAGAUAAAGAGCAUAAGAAGCACAAACACCGUCAUAAAGAUCGAAGUAAAGAUAAAGAAAAGGAGAAGAAAAAGGACAAACAUGAUUCGGGCGGUGAGCCCUCAAAGAAACAUGAGAAGAAAAGGAAACAUGAUGGGGAUGAAGAUCUUACUGAUGUUCAGAGACAGAAAAAAAGUAAGCAUAAGAGCUCAAAACCAGAUGAAGUUGGUGUGAUCAAGGUAGCUGGCUGAGUGUUGAAAAAUUUAGGUAUUUUGUUUUCUUCAAAUCGUUGUCGUUCAAAGUUUGGAGGGGCCUUUCAUCUGAUAUUAUUUUUCUUGAGUUUGCUGAGAUGGGUUGAAAUGCAGCGGGUGAGAAAAUAAUUGAUUUUGUGUGUUGGCCGUAUCAUGUAGGGGUGUGAUUUACAUUUAUGCACAAAUUAUGAAGUAUAUAAUAUGUAUUGGUUUCCUUCUCAUUGCAAGGGUGAAAGAAGGAAAAGUGUAGCAUGUGUAUUCAGUUAGAAAAUUGUGAUGCAUAUAUUUAUAGUCCAUUUUGUGGGGGAGAAGACAUUCCUUUUUUCAUUCUGCCAUAAUCUCAUCAAUCUGAGGACUAGCACGUGAUUAGGCUACAGCUCUUCUAAUUGUGAAUACCAUCACUAAUGUUUUUCCUUCAAGCACUUAGUCUAAUCAAUGUUCUAGUUUCUUUCAAGCAUUUUGUCUGUUUAUAAUACUAAAUUCUGCUCAUAUUUAUUACUUUGUAAUGCCAUAGACCUCGGUUUUUUUAUGACAACUAUUCCUUUUUGGGCUCUAGUUGGAUUGCUGUGAUGACUUGGCAUGAGGUUUGGAUACAUGAUAUAC